AAGGCAGCAGUGGGGAAUUUUGGACAAUGGGGGAAACCCUGAUCCAGCCAUGCCGCGUGAGUGAAGAAGGCCUUCGGGUUGUAAAGCUCUUUCAGCCGGAACGAAACGGUUACGGUUAAUACCCGUGACUACUGACGGUACCGGAAGAAGAAGCACCGGCUAACUACGUGCCAGCAGCCGCGGUAAUACGUAGGGUGCGAGCGUUAAUCGGAAUUACUGGGCGUAAAGCGUGCGCAGGCGGUUUUGUAAGUCAGAUGUGAAAUCCCCGGGCUUAACCUGGGAACUGCGUUUGAAACUGCAAGGCUAGAGUGUGGCAGAGGGGGGUGGAAUUCCGCGUGUAGCAGUGAAAUGCGUAGAGAUGUGGAGGAACACCGAUGGCGAAGGCAGCCCCCUGGGUCAACACUGACGCUCAGGCACGAAAGCAUGGGGAGCAAACAGGAUUAGAUACCCUGGUAGUCCAUGCCCUAAACGAUGUCAACUAGUUGUCGGGUCUUAACGGUCUUGGUAACGUAGCUAACGCAUGAAGUUGACCGCCUGGGGAGUACGAUCGCAAGAUUAAAACUCAAAGGAAUUGACGG
rnacentral:rRNA from 1 species